CCGACGUUAUACGAGCACCGAAAAAUGGCAGUUCACGGCACGACGUUGUCAAUUUCCUAAUGAAGUAGGCGUGACAUAGGACCCUUGUGGAGACCGAUCCACUCGGGGAUGAACUAUAGUAUCUCGCAGGAGAAGCAGCUGACACCCCGUAUGUAUAGAUGCUUUCAGUCUACAUGCCACCAUAUGUUUGAUAUGUGCCCUCACACGUGGACGUGACAAAAGAGGAAGCCCGAUGAACCUCAAUUGCCGAACCUUACGUCCACAUCCUGCUGGGACGAUGCCCGCCUGAGCAUACCAAGUCGACCAAUGAGGGUCUGCGCCUGUAAUCUACUGCGGCGGAAAGAGAACAUUGUUGCGAAGCACGGACCGUUUGAUUGCCAAUAUGAGAUACGAUCGGCGACAGCGGCGCUUCGCCUGCGCAAUAAAAGGCAACGAUCGCACGGGAAAGAAACGACGGCAGCGUCCCCUUGCUUCCUCGUUGAGCGAUUUCCGCUCCUUGAUGAAGACGAAUUAAAGCCCCUAUUGACGAGAUGUGUAGGAAGCGGCGGACAGCUCCGGUUGGUGCUUCUGAGCGUGCGCACUAAUGAGGAAAUCUCAGUGUGCUUUGCAGAUAGGAGAAAACGAGAUGCGAUUGAAGUGGCGAUACCGCAGGAUGGCCGAGAAGGACAAGUCGCCUGCUGCUGCUGUUGUCGUCUGCUACCCUUCGUGUUUAUGUAGACGUCUUCGGCUCCGUCAGUGCGUUUCAUCUGUUCUUGCCGAACCUCAUCACCAAGGAACAACAAGAGGAAGACCAACGAGGAGACAUCUGUAAGCAGUGGGCAGCUUUUGUCUAGUAUUCGGCAAAUAAAACACGCUCAAAAACGA